CUAAAUCGUGCUGCUCCUAUGCAGACUGAUCUGGGGAGGGAGGGGAUGGCUACACCAAGUCUAAUGUGCCAUAAUCUUAAAGGCUUAAGAUGAUUGGGGGAAAAAGGAACCUGGAAGAAAGAGGCCACUCAUCAUCUCUGGAUCUCUUCUGUGAGAUCAUGUUUCCAUUAGUGCAUUAAAAGUGCAUGCUUUCUUUUAGAUAUUGGGACAAUCAUAAAAAAUCUGUUUCUGUGCACUUACUGUCUGUCUUAAUGUGUUUGAAUUAUAAUAUUUGUAUGUGUUUUUUUUUCUUAGUGUUCACCCCUUACUGGCCUUCAGGUGGAUAUACUGUUAAUUCAGUUUGAUCAGCAUCCAGUAGGCUAUUGAAGCCUCUUUCAGGGGAGAUGAAAACGAAACUUGUUGCAAUAGGAGCUCAGGAAUGUUGCACUUACUCCAUUCAAAUACCUCAACCUGUUCAUCGCUCUAGACCAAGAUAGAACAGCACUACAGAAAGUGAAGAAAUCUGUAAAAGCAAUAUACAAUUCUGGCCAAGACACUGCCGACCAGGUCGACCCAGGACCCCGUUCUGCGGCAGCCUGUCCUGCGAGAGCCUCUGGAAUGCAUUGUGGGUCAAAUCCAUCUGCGGUUUGCUCGUGGCCAUGGAUCUUAAAGUGUCUGUUUCUGGGACUGGCGAGACCCCUUCAGUUGAGUUCAUGAGCCAGAAAGAGAACUAUUAAAAGAUUUUGAUGCCCGGUUAAGUAUGGGAAUAAGUAAAUUGUUACUGAUUCUGAAGUGUUUAGCACCAGUAAUCAAUGCUGUAGGACACAGUACUUAGGGGUUGACAGAGGAUGAAUUCGCUCAGCCAGUUUAUUGCUCACAAUCACAGAUAACACGGUAUUCUCAGGUCUUCCAUGUCUCAGAAAAUGGUCAAACAAACUGGGCGUGGUGGCGCCCACCUGUGAUCCUAGCACUCAGACUCAGGAGGCUGAGGCAGGAGAAUUGCUGUGAGUUUGAGGCCAGCCUGAACUACAUAGGGAGACCCUGUCUCAAAAAAACAAAAACAGAACAAGGUAAAUAUAUUGGUUUAGAUUAAAGGUUGAAAUACUUUUUAAAAGAUUUAGGAACAUAAGCAAGACAGAAAAACCCCAAAUUUUCAGGGUAAUGAUUGAUACAUUUAACUAGAUUUAUUUUAAAAUUUUCUCUAGUGCAGAGCAUAUGGUAAGUUAAAAACAUGGUUUUCCCCCCACUGUAUGCUUACAACACCGAUCACCCCUAUGACUUCAGAAGGUGUAAGGGUGACCCCACCACCACCACCACCAAGCAAGCAGUUCUGAAGCAGGCCUCAGCUGGGCUCCUCAGAGGUGGGUCAGCAGGCACUGUCCACCUGGAGUGGUGUCAGACCCCCCUCUCACGUGGUCCCCAAGUCCCCUCUGACUGAGCAGCUGUAAAUUGGGGAUGCCGCAGCCCCUCUUCGGGUGCAGUUAAUUUGUUUGAGCAGCUUCUAGUGCUCAGGAACAGCUUUUCUGGCUUAUUAUAAAG
rnacentral:lncRNA from 1 species